GAGACUCUGUGCGCGUGCAUAUCAAUAAGCGGAGGAAAAGAAACUAACAAGGAUUCCCUUAGUAACGGCGAGUGAAGCGGGAAGAGCUCAAAUUUGAAAUCUUCAAGGUUUUACCUUGACGAAUUGUAGUUUAAAGAAGUGUUUUCUGUUGGAGUUUUGGUAAAAGUUCUUUGGAAUAGGACAUCAUAGAGGGUGAGAAUCCCGUAUUUGACCGUUACUUUCCAGCUGUGUGAUACACUUUCAAAGAGUCGGAUUGUUUGGGAAUGCAGUCCAAAAUGGGUGGUAAAUUUCAUCUAAAGCUAAAUAUUGGCGAGAGACCGAUAGCGAACAAGUACCGUGAGGGAAAGAUGAAAAGAACUUUGAAAAGAGAGUUAAACAGUACGUGAAAUUGUCAAGAGGGAAGCGUUUGACACCAGUGUUGUUUAGUUGAAAAUCAAUUCAAUAAUUUUUGAUUCUAAGUAGUAUUGACUUCAUCAGCUUGCUGCUUUCUUCUCAGAAAUUAUUGAAUGCACUUUUCAGUUAACAAGUCAACAUCAAUUUCUUUUGUUGUAAAAGGGUAAGAGGAAGGUGGCUUGCGCUUCGGCUCAAGUGUUUAUAGCCUUUUAUCUCUGCAAUCGGAGAGAUUGAGGUCUGCAGCGUAGAUCCUUCGGGGUUAGAUACAUUGGUGCUAAGUUAUAGCUUGUCAUAGACAACUUGUUGACUAUGAUCAGUCAUGUAGCUUACUCGCUGAUGUCAUUUUACCUACGCUUAGGAUGUUGACAGCAGUAUAGACUGU
rnacentral:rRNA from 1 species